rnacentral:rRNA from 1 species
GACGAACGCUGGCGGCGUGCUUAACACAUGCAAGUCGAACGGUGAAGCGCCUUCCUUUUUGGUGGGUGUGGAUGAGUGGCGAACGGGUGAGUAACACGUGAGUAACCUGCCCCCUUCUUCUGGAUAACCGCAUGAAAGUGUGGCUAAUACGGGAUAUUCUGGGUCUGUCGCAUGAUGGGUCUGGGAAAGAUAUUGUUUCGGUGGGGGAUGGGCUCGCGGCCUAUCAGCUUGUUGGUGGGGUGAUGGCCUACCAAGGCGGGGACGGGUAGCCGGCCUGGGAGGGUGGCCGGUCACACUGGGACUGAGGCACGGCCCCGACUCCUACGGGAGGCAGCAGUGGGGAAUAUUGCACAAUGGGCGCAAGCCUGAUGCAGCGACGCCGCGUGAGGGAUGGAGGCCUGCGGGUUGUGAACCUCUUUCGCCAGUGAAGCAGGCCUGCCUCGUUUGUGGGUGGGUUGACGGUAGCUGGAUAAGAAGCGCCGGCUAACUACGUG